GCAAAGUCUUAAAUGACAUUAUUCUUCCGAUUAUAGAGAAACUGAAAGCAGCAUUCAUCUCAUCGCCGAGAAACUGAAAGCAGCAUUCAUCUCAUCGCCGAGAAACUGAGAGCAGCAUUCAUCCCAUCGCCGAGAAACUGAGAGCAGCAUUCAUCCCAUCGCCGGUAAGUGCGAACGUUAAAUGGUAAAAUUGAAAUUUAGUGUUAAGAUUUAAGUUGAUGAUCACAAAUCGAAGCGAGGCUAGAAAAUCAAAAUGGGUUGAAG